rnacentral:pre_miRNA from 1 species
CAACUACUCCCUCUGUCCCAAAUUUCUUGUCUUAGAUUUUUCUAGAUACGGAUGUAUCUAAUACUAAAAUGUGACUUGAUACAUCCGUAUCUAGACAAAUCUAAGACAAGAAUUUUGGGAUUGAGGGAGUACUUC